rnacentral:lncRNA from 1 species
AUGUUGGCUUUGUUUAGGAAACUAUCACAGCAACCAGCACACAUCUUUCCUGAAGGACAGUGGCCCUUCUCAGAGCAGCUGCUGGGAUGCAGACUGAAGAAGCAGCUGGCCGGGACCGUACUCCACUUCUGCUCCCACGGGAGGUGUGGGUGCUGUCACCCCAAAACCACAAGAACUGGAGUGCACCAGUUUGUUCUACAGAAAAGAGACAAAGGGUCUGAGGGUAAAGGCUACUCUCUUCCCAUACUUGCAUGUGGACUUUACCUGGCAGUGACCCUGAACAGACUCAGAGAAGAAGUGUAA